AUCACUUCUCAGCUUUUGGCUAAGAUCAAGUAUAAUAUUUGGUCUUAUCAGUUGAACGUCUAAUACAUCUAGUACAGAGGGUAGGUGCUUGCCUUACAGGUGGCCAACCCACGUCCAAUUCCCC
rnacentral:snRNA from 1 species